CAAUUGCAUUCGCGCAGGUGAUUGGUAAAAUCGGCAUUAUAGUAAUAAAGAGUCAGAUGCUUUUCGAUUGGUUUUUCAUAGAGUAUUGUGUGAUAAAAAGAGCAUGACCUCACAUAAUUCUAUCCUUCAAUGUGGUCGCCAUCAUCGCAUAAGAAUGUACAGUUUAUGGCGCGAGACACAUCUUAUGAUAAGUCUAUGUCAUAUGAACAAUCUAUCUUUUCUAUACCAGAACAAUAAACAGCAGCCAUUGCUCUAUUAUAAUUUUGCAAUGAAAGAAUAUCGCAACAAUCGUAAGAAUAUGUCAAGUUUAGAAAAAGAGAUGGAAAAAGACAUAGGAGGGGGAAAAUUGGAAAUAUCUAUGUGAAAAAUUGAAACAAAGGCAGCGAUUGCAGAAAAUAUAAUCUUAAAAAAAAAGUAAAAAAAUUAGAGCAAAAAUUAGAAGUAGCGAAAGCACAGCAGCCACCACCAUCACUACCGCCACUGCCACUGUCAACAGCAGAAUCUUUACAAUCAAAGUCGGAGAAGACAACAUCAACAUCAAAGUCGCUCAGCCAACAUUGGAGGUUUCAGCAUCCACAUCCAAUUUAGAACCAUCAUCGCUGCUAUCAAUAAAUGAUGAUCAAAAAAUUGUUCAUCGUCAAGAAAAAGUAAUCAUACAAUACAACAACCACCUAGAUGGAGGAGAGCGGGACAAAACCGCGGACGUGGCUGCGAACGAGGCCGCGGGCGAAGCAAUGGGCGAGGCAACGGGCGCACAAAUGUGUUCUAUAUUUACUAAUUGUGUGUGUGAUAGAGCAUUUUUUUAUUAUUUUUUUUUGAUUAGAGAUUUUUAUUUUUUUAAUUAUAUGUAUACAUACACAUAUAACAUUUCAUAUAUCAUA